rnacentral:lncRNA from 1 species
AAAGACAGUGCCCUGAAGUCAAACGUGUUCUAUUUCUAAAGUGAAACAAAUGCAUAGUCACACCAAGUAGACCAAAUGAAGUAUAAAUCCUCUAAACAGGUCAGGUUUUGCAGCUAAAUUUGUUUAAAAACCUGUCAAUUUGCAACUAAAAGAUUAUGAAUCUGAAUAUCUUGUUUUCCAGAAUCAAAGCCAAUAAUUUAUACACAAUAGAAUAUAUUUUAGGGGGUAUUUUAGAGUUUUUCUCUUUAGUAGAAAUGACCCAUAAUGACUUGCAAUUGUUUUCUUUAUGAAUCUGAAUAUCUAAUGCUGACUUGGGGUGGGAUGAAGAUGGUGGUGACUGUCAGGAGGCUCAAAGCCUGGGAAGCUUGGAGGCCAGCCUUCGGACCAGUGCUGGCUGUAACAGUCAGUCAAGCUCAAAGGCCCUGGGGUAGCUUAGCAAGUGACCCAUC